rnacentral:rRNA from 1 species
CAGCAGCCACGGUAAUACGUAAGUGGCAAGCGUUGUCCGGAAUUAUUGGGCGUAAAGGGCUCGCAGGCGGUUUCUUAAGUCUGAUGUGAAAGCCCCCGGCUCAACCGGGGAGGGUCAUUGGAAACUGGGAAACUUGAGUGCAGAAGAGGAGAGUGGAAUUCCACGUGUAGCGGUGAAAUGCGUAGAGAUGUGGAGGAACACCAGUGGCGAAGGCGACUCUCUGGUCUGUAACUGACGCUGAGGAGCGAAAGCGUGGGGAGCGAACAGGAUUAGAUACCCCUGUAGUCCCUGUCUCUUAUAC